CCUACGGGAGGCAGCAGUGGGGAAUAUUGGGCAAUGGGCGCAAGCCUGACCCAGCAACGCCGCGUGAAGGCAGAAGGCUUUCGGGUUGUAAACUUCUUUUCUCAGGGACGAAGCAAGUGACGGUACCUGAGGAAUAAGCCACGGCUAACUACGUGCCAGCAGCCGCGGUAAUACGUAGGUGGCAAGCGUUAUCCGGAUUUACUGGGUGUAAAGGGCGUGUAGGCGGGGACGCAAGUCAGAUGUGAAAACCACGGGCUCAACCUGUGGCCUGCAUUUGAAACUGUGUUUCUUGAGUACUGGGGAGGCAGACGGAAUUCCUAGUGUAGCGGUGAAAUGCGUAGAGAUUAGGAGGAACACCAGUGGCGAAGGCGGUCUGCUGGACAGUAACUGACGCUGAGGCGCGAAAGCGUGGGGAGCAAACAGGAUUAGAUACCCCUGUAGUC
rnacentral:rRNA from 1 species